GAGAAUUAUCUCAACGAGGUGAUCCUCCGUUAAAGAUGUCCUACAGAUAUUCCGCCAAAGUGCCUCCGGGUUUGAUGACUCUUUUGGAAGGCCUCAGUCGGGCCGUGGUGAAAAGACGGCCAGAUUCCAUCUCACAGUUUGCUACAUUUUACUUCGCCGAGCUCUUGCACUUCAGGACAGAAAAUCCAACUCUUGCCAUCAACGACCUUGUGAGAGAAUUCAAUACAACUAAAGGUAGGCCUAACUCGAUAAUAGCCCAUAACGAUAAAGCCGUACCCAAGUACCAAAACAGGUACCUGAAGAGUAGCCUACUGUAAUAAAAAUCGAAAGUCCACGGCAGCACAAGACAUGAAUAAAUGUGACUAUUACAAAUCUCCUGGCUUUGUAAGAAAUCACAAUUCAAAGUCAAUCAAAUACCGUGACCCUUAUAUUUAUGUAUCUCUUAUAGUGCCUAAGUUCCCAAGUCAUGGCAUUGGAGCUGUGAUUGCUCCGCUGGCAGUUCAGAAUGAAAGUGCCACAGCAGUGUCUCCUGGUGGUCAAUAUGUCCAACCAUUUGGAAUUUACCCUCCAGAUGGGAUUUUCCAAACUCUUCCCAGUAUUCCAGGAGUGGAGGAGCAGGAUGCUAAGCAGCCCUGGGUUCACGGCCAGAACAUUUUGUACACUGGCACAACGUUGCCUGAUCUAUCAGAUUGCAAAGAAGCUGCAGAAGCAACCUCCCUGCCAAGCCAAUACCUCAAUGACUCUGGCCUCCAGAGAAGUCUGCAGGCAGUUACCUCUAAUGUGUCCCCUCACCCCAUCUCAGCAGAUCAAGCCGAAGAUGUAGUUGUCUUCCGCAGGAAAUCCAGGAAUGACUGCAUGACGGCUACCUGUGAUAUCAACUCUGCUGCUCCAGACCGGUGCCGGCAAACCAAGUCAGCUUUCUUCGAGAGGGUUCCACUGAGUGAGAUCUAUCACAUACCCAAUGCUGUUCUGAUCAGGACACCUUCUGUACCCGGUGAGUACAUGAUUGUGGUGCAGUCAGACAAGGUCCCGAAGACCAUAGUGUUUCAGAGAGUCUCAUCAGUCAGUAAGACAAUGAGGAACGCUCGAACAGCAGCAGCUUGUGGUGAUGAUGUCACUGGUGCCCCAGGUAACACCCAGCCUGACUGCACACCAUGUUGCACCCCGCCUACAGCCCCAUCGCAGGUGGUCAAAGAUCAGCCAGCCACCCAAUUGGUCAUGCCCCUAGCGCUGACUGAGGACACUCAGCUUUCUGGUGAUGGAAAUAGGGAUCUCCUAACCCAACCUGGUUGGAAUCCACUUUCACCUGGAGAUAAUUCUGUUUACAAGCACAUGGACAUAAAUAUAGCAUCACCUGAUCCGAAUGCCUACAACCCAUACAUCAAUGAAAUGAUAGUGGAUCAAAUGAACUGGGUGAAUGAAGAUGUUUCAACCAUGGUGUCAGAUGAUAUAAUAGCCCCUGGUAUUAUGGGUCCCGUCAACUCAGCACUUCAGGAUGGAUGUUUCCCCAGUGCAGUACGUGAUGUGAACGGGUACAACCCCUACAUGAAUGAAAUGAUACUGGAUAAAAUUAAUGGGGUGAACUUUGGUGUUUUAUCCAAGGUGUCAGAUGAGAUGACAGGCUUCAAUGUUAUGGGCCCACCAAUCUCAGCACCACUGGAGACAAAGGAUACAAGUGUGGUGAACACUCCUGUGUGUCAACCUAUUUUAGCUCCACAAGAAGCAAGUGUCCCCAGUUUGGUGCACGCUCCAACUUCAGCACAAGAAACAUGUGCCCCCAGCUUGGUGUAUCCUCCAACACCACAGGUAACAAUUGGAGCCACCUUCAUGCCACCAAGUGUUUCACCAGCAGAAGAAAUAAGUGUUCCUAGUUUGGUGUACCCUCCAAUUUCAGCUGGACAGGGGGCUAAUAUACCCAGUUUGGUGCUCCCGCCUAUUUAUAUUGCUCAACAAAUUGGAGCACUCCCAUUGCUUAGCCCUCCUAUUGUGCCACCCGUGGCGGGACCAAGGGCAGUCACUUUACCAAACCCAUAUGUACCAGCUCCACAAAAAACAACAGCCACUCUGCUUUAUCCUUCAAUCUUGGCUCAGGAGGAAACAAGACCCCCUUCAUUGCCACUCCCCCAGGCCAUUGUUUCCCACCUGCAUCAGUGCACUGGUCGGAAUGCAGAAGCAUUCCAUGUGAAUGAGGAGAACAGAAGAACACCCAAUGUGAUUCCAUUGGUCUACCAAAGCAUUAUGGGAGUGCCACAGAUGUAUGUUCAACCACAACAACACCAGUUUAUUCCCAGCUGGUCCAGAGAAACGCAUUCACAAAGGCUAUGUGACCCAGCGCCUACUGGCCAGAGUGCCAGUAUGUGCCAGUAUGUUACACCUGAAGCAUGUGGUAGGAGCUGGAGACUCUGCCACCUGGCAUGCAUUGAGACUAUGGCUGGGAUGCCAACAGCUGUGGCUUUCCCAGGAGGAUCUAGGAUUAUGAUUGGCUGUGGGCAAGAGCAAGGCUACAACCCUGACCAGGCCAACUUGCCAAUGUGCCAGGACUUUGGGCCCCGUUUCAGGACCCAUCACAUAUCUAGGGGUGGUGCCAGCUCGUUUCAAACCCUCUGCCCCAUGAGUGGUGCCUACGUGCCAGUCAUGCCUACGGCCCCUACCUUCAAACCCACAGACCAUCACUGCUGCCAGGCUGCCCCUGUUGCCUCUUACCCUUGCCCUACUCCAUCAUCCCCACAUUAUGUACUGAUCAACAGCCCAACUCACAAUGUUGCCUCUUGCCCUACUCCAUCACCUAUGCAGCCCCAGGGCUUUGCCUAUGCUCCUGUCCACAUGUAUGGUCCCCGCUGUGAAACUGAGAAUGCAGUGUCAUCCACCUUCAAUAUGAGGACCCAUGCAGGCCACCAGCAAGGGACAGCAGAACACUGCAGAGAGACCAGCAACAGGUUAACGACAGCACGCCGGCAGGAAUGAACAACUUCUUUCAAUUGUUCCUGAAAACUGUUAACAUUCCUCAAUAAAUCCUGCAAAAUUCUGUUGUUAUGUCAUGAUCUACAGUUACACCCAAAGCAUAGCUGCGGGAAGAAGUUUGGGAUAUAUUUCUAUUGUGUUAUUGACUGUGUGUUUGUUUAUUCCAUGUGUAACUCUGUGUUGUUCUUUGUGUCACACUGCUUUGCUUUAUCUUGG
rnacentral:lncRNA from 1 species